AUUGAACGCUGGCGGCAUGCCUAACACAUGCAAGUCGAACGGCAGCACAGUCUAGCUUGCUAGACGGGUGGCGGGUGGCGAACGGGUGAGUAACGCGUAGGAAUAUGGCUUAAAGAGUGGGACAACUUGGAGAAACUCAAGCUAAUACCGCAUAAGCUCUUAGGAGGAAAGCUGGGGACCUUCGGGCCUGGCGCUUUAAGAUUAGCCUGCGUCCGAUUAGCUAGUUGGUAGGGUAAGGGCCUACCAAGGCGACGAUCGGUAGCUGGUCUGAGAGGAUGACCAGCCACACUGGGACUGAGACACGGCCCAGACUCCUACGGGAGGCAGCAGUGGGGAAUAUUGGACAAUGGGGGCAACCCUGAUCCAGCAAUGCCGCGUGUGUGAAGAAGGCCUGAGGGUUGUAAAGCACUUUCAGUGGGGAGGAGAGAUGUCAGGUUAAGAGCUGGACAUUGAGACGUUACCCACAGAAGAAGCACCGGCUAACUCCGUGCCAGCCGCCGCAGUAA
rnacentral:rRNA from 1 species